rnacentral:rRNA from 1 species
UACGUAGGGCGCAAGCGUUAUCCGGAAUUAUUGGGCGUAAAGAGCUCGUAGGCGGUUUGUCGCGUCUGCCGUGAAAGUCCGGGGCUCAACUCCGGAUCUGCGGUGGGUACGGGCAGACUAGAGUGAUGUAGGGGAGACUGGAAUUCCUGGUGUAGCGGUGAAAUGCGUAGAUAUCUGGAGGAACACCGGUGGCGAAGGCGGCAUUCUGGACCAUAACUGACACUGAGAGACGAAAGCCAGGGGAGCAAACGGG